UAGGGAAUCUUCCACAAUGGACGAAAGUCUGAUGGAGCAACGCCGCGUGAGUGAAGAAGGGUUUCGGCUCGUAAAGCUCUGUUGGUAGUGAAGAAAGAUAGAGGUAGUAACUGGCCUUUAUUUGACGGUAAUUACUUAGAAAGUCACGGCUAACUACGUGCCAGCAGCCGCGGUAAUACGUAGGUGGCAAGCGUUGUCCGGAUUUAUUGGGCGUAAAGCGAGUGCAGGCGGUUCAAUAAGUCUGAUGUGAAAGCCUUCGGCUCAACCGGAGAAUUGCAUCAGAAACUGUUGAACUUGAGUGCAGAAGAGGAGAGUGGAACUCCAUGUGUAGCGGUGGAAUGCGUAGAUAUAUGGAAGAACACCAGUGGCGAAGGCGGCUCUCUGGUCUGCAACUGACGCUGAGGCUCGAAAGCAUGGGUAGCGAACA
rnacentral:rRNA from 2 species